rnacentral:lncRNA from 1 species
GUUGCCCAGAUGAAGAAAGUGUACUACCUCAUUUUUCCUAGAAAACCAUAAGGAAUUUUGGUGAGGAUGACUUAAUUUAUGCCAUAGUAAUGGUCUGCAGCUACAGUGAGGUUCUUGAGGAUAGCCUUGCAGCUGGGACAUGAAAUUCACAUUGAAGGAGUGUGUGCAUGACUUUGUUCAUUUCAAAAGAAGAUAAACCGGCUGGAGCUCCACCAUUGUCCCAAUUACAGAUUUGAAUACUGGAGGUUCAUAAUGGGAUUGAUUCUGCUCUGUGAAAACUAAUUAUUUGUCCAUAAAACCAGGAGGCUGCAGAAAUGAACUCGGAUGGCAACAGUCUUUUGUUCAGCUCCUUUGCAGUGAAAAGGGAAACUGCCUGACUGCGUUGCACUUUUACAAGGCCCAAAACUCUUGA